rnacentral:rRNA from 1 species
UGCCAGCCGCCGCGGUAAUACGGAGGGUGCAAGCGUUAAUCGGAAUUACUGGGCGUAAAGCGUGCGUAGGUGGUUCGUCAAGUCAGAUGUGAAAUCCCCGGGCUUAACCUGGGAACUGCAUUUGAAACUGGCAAACUAGAGUAUAGUAGAGGAAAGUGGAAUUUCUGGUGUAGCGGUGAAAUGCGUAGAUAUCAGAAGGAACAUCAAUGGCGAAGGCAACUUUCUGGGCUAAUACUGACACUGAGGUACGAAAGCGUGGGUAGCGAACAGGAUUAGAUA